rnacentral:rRNA from 1 species
GCUCCAAUAGCGUAUAUUAAAGUUGUUGCGGUUAAAAAGCUCGUAGUUGGAUUUCUGUUGGGAACGACCGGUCCGCCACUGGGUGUGCAUCUGGCUUGUUCUCGGCAUCUUCUUGGUGAACGUUGCUGCACUUGACUGUGUGGAGCGCUACCAGGACUUUACUUUGAGGAAUUAGAGUGUUUCAAGCAGCAUAUGCCUUG